UGAGCUACGUAGGGGAGGAAGUCGGAAUGGCGGCUUUUUCUCAGUUGGAGCCUUGAAAGUUACCCGGAGAGGUCUGAACGAGUGCGGUACGAGCAACUGGGCAGAAAGCAGGCGUAAAAAGAAAAAAAAAAAGACUGCGUUCCCAUGACGUACUAAACCACCGACCGAUCGAGUUAAUUGUAGUUUCAUCGUGUUCUGCGUGCUCAACUUGCGUGGUUGGUUUUGAAUUCAGUGCAUGAGGCUGCCUGAUUCCAGAUCACUCUGGAUGGCGUACGUGAUCAAUUAAAAGACAAAAACAAAGAAAGAAAAAGAAAGAAAAAAAGAAAAAGCAUGAAAAAUCUUGAACUUCCAGAUAGAUAAAUAUAAUGUUCCAAAAAUACCUAAAAAAAACACAAAAAACCAUGAGAGGGGCUUAGUAGCCAUCCUACCCUGCCAGGCCUGGGACCAAAACCAAGUUUUAAGUGACUUUCAAAAUGUUGGGACAAGAACUGUACAUAUCUUCAGAGGGAUGCAAUUCCAGAGAGCAGGCACAAUAUAGAAAUCCCAUUUCCUACAUCCCAAUAGAUGACACUGUUUUUGAACUGAAAGGACCUGGAGUGCACCCACUCUGCUCAGUCUUAUUGGAGGGCAGACUUUAUUGGAGGAAUUUUGCAGGAAAUCCGAGCUUCUGUACCACGCGAGCAUAUUUUCUGGCUGCCAGUCGUGACUGCUCUUCACUGCAAAUUUACAACAAGCAUUAAAAAACAAAGCCAGCCAGCAAAGCUUUACGACAAGAGAUUCUGGAUGGCUCAACUGAGAAGUGCUUCUUUCAUGAUACUGAGUCAUGUUUAUCAGAAGGGAAGGAGUGUGGACACCUUCAUUAUUUACUCCAGCUGGUGAGCAAUCUCUCUUCUCUCCACCCUGCAAUUACCAAGGGUACAUCAAAACAACUAAAAACAUGGAGAAACAGCCUUAAAGAUGAAGGAUUUGCAGCUGAACCAUGCUAUGAAAAUAUUAAGAGGCUGAAAUAUUUGAUAAGACAUUUGCUGUCUUGCUUGAAGAGGAGGGUAAGACAUAGACAGUGGAGAAACUGCCCAGGAUUGUUUGGAUUAAAAAAAAGUAGACAUUAGAAACAUGGGUAGUUUGAAACACUCAAAAGAUAGUUUACUAUAAAAGACACUUGUUUUAUGUACGUCUGUUACCUUGUAUUAUAAGAAUUGGCCAUCCAAUUCUGGAAAACUGUUUUUUUAUCAUAUGUUGAAUAUGAUGAUGCUGUGUUAUUAUGUCUCAAAAAUAUUGUAUGGUUUUAUAGUUGGCAAUUUUUGCACACAAAGCUGCUUAAUAAAUUUUCAUAU